GCUUAACGCGAAGAACCUUACCAACCCUUGACAUGGGACGUAUGGGCACCAGAGAUGGUGUUCUUCAGUUCGGCUGGCGUCCACACAGGUGCUGCAUGGCUGUCGUCAGCUCGUGUCGUGAGAUGUUGGGUUAAGUCCCGCAACGAGCGCAACCCUCAUCUUCAGUUGCCAUCAUUUAGUUGGGCACUCUGAAGAAACUGCCGGUGACAAGCCGGAGGAAGGCGGGGAUGACGUCAAGUCCUCAUGGCCCUUACGGGUUGGGCUACACACGUGCUACAAUGGUGGUGACAAUGGGGAGCGAGGCCGCGAGGCCAAGCCAAUCUCAAAAAGCCAUCUCAGUUCGGAUUGCACUCUGCAACUCGAGUGCAUGAAGUUGGAAUCGCUAGUAAUCGCGCAUCAGCAUGGCGCGGUGAAUACGUUUCCGGGUCUUGUACACACCG
rnacentral:rRNA from 1 species